AUAUUAGAUACCUUUUGAUCAGUCGUCCCUUGCGAUAUUUUUUCACUCGUAUGAGUCGUCAACAAAUACCGGUAAAGGACUUUAAACGACACAAGUGCCGGGCACUUGGCAAAUGAACAGUCACUACAUACAUGUAUCAUAGGUUUGACGCCAGAUGCGGAGCUGGGAACGAGAACCGAACCCAUUACCUCAUGAUUACGACCUUUUGGAUGAUGCUCUAAGAAAUGUUAAGGCAAAAGAAAAUCAUCAUCCCCCAACCGCAGCAGUCUCCCCGGGACAACUGCGCUGCGGGUCAGCAGUACAUAUUGUGCGGAUGUGUUUCCGAGCUAUAGUACCUUCACAACAACCUUCGUGAUUCUUGUCGAAUGCUUGGUUUCCGCAGCAGACCAAUUCUGCAGACGACCGGGAAUGGUUCACCCCAUUACAGCAGAUAUAUAGAGACGUAUUUAUGGAACCUAGUUACGGAAAAAAAUUGGAUGUGGUCGAUUUUCAUAUAUUUUUUUAGAAUCUCAGUUGAACAAUCUUACAAAAAGAUAUCAAUUGUUGGAUUACCUUGCCCACAGCACUUUUCAUUUUUAGGUGCCCGGAUAUUGGUUCCAUGACAGCAUUGUUGUGUGUUAAUGGAAUACACCUGUGUUCCGCAGCAGUCAACAGGAUUGGUAUAUACCGAAAUAUUGUGAAGAACUCGGUUGUCGCAACACCUCAUGCUGGAUGUAUUGUAUGUAACGUUACUACAGAUACCUUGUGUCAGUAGUAGAACUUUGUCGUCGACACAGUGGUGAGUGGUGGGGUCGUAUGCUUCCGAGAGACAACAAAUGAUGCCUUUCAUUUUUUUAAAAGCUUUAUUUUCACAACAAAUAUGUGUUGUUGUGUUGUAUUGGCUUUCACCACAGCAAUCCAUGUCUUCUGAUAAAAAAUAUAAAUCGGCAUGUACAUGUAUAAACGUAUGCUAGAUCUAA